rnacentral:misc_RNA from 1 species
GAUGAAGAACGUAGCGAAAUGCGAUAAGUAAUGCGAAUUGCAGAAUUCCAGUGAGUCAUCGAAUCUUUGAACGCACAUUGCGCCCGGCAGUACUCUGCCGGGCAUGCCUGUUCGAGCGUCAUUUCAACCCUCAAGCCCUGCUUGGUGUUGGGGCCCCACGGCUGCCGUGGGCCCUGAAAGGAAGUGGCGGGCUCGCUACAACUCCGAGCGUAGUAAUUCAUUAUCUCGCUUAGGGCGUUGGGCGGCGCUCCAGCCGUUAAAGAACCAUCUUUAACUCAAGGUUGACCUCGGAUCAGGUAGGAAUACCCGCUGAACUUAAGCAUAUCAAUAAGCGGAGGA